rnacentral:pre_miRNA from 1 species
CCCAUGUGUGUAGGACCCUAAACGAUCACUAUUAAAUUUGGCAUUGAUCUCUAAAAAAGUUAUCACAUGGGUGUGGGUCUUGACUUUUUUAGAGAUCUUUGCCAAAUUUAAUGGUGAUCAUUUGGGGUCCUACACACAUGGGUGCGGG